UUGCUUUCUCCGCUGACGAGCGGCGGACGGGUGAGUAAUGUCUGGGGAUCUGCCUGAUGGAGGGGGAUAACUACUGGAAACGGUAGCUAAUACCGCAUAACGUCGCAAGACCAAAGUGGGGGACCUUCGGGCCUCAUGCCAUCAGAUGAACCCAGAUGGGAUUAGCUAGUAGGUGAGGUAAUGGCUCACCUAGGCGACGAUCCCUAGCUGGUCUGAGAGGAUGACCAGCCACACUGGAACUGAGACACGGUCCAGACUCCUACGGGAGGCAGCAGUGGGGAAUAUUGCACAAUGGGCGCAAGCCUGGUGCAGCCAUGCCGCGUGUAUGAAGAAGGCCUUCGGGUUGUAAAGUACUUUCAGUAGGGAGGAAGGUGUACGUGUUAAUAGCACGUGCAAUUGACGUUACCUACAGAAGAAGCACCGGCUAACUCCGUGCCAGCAGCCGCGGUAAUACGGAGGGUGCAAGCGUUAAUCGGAAUUACUGGGCGUAAAGCGCACGCAGGCGGUUUGUUAAGUUGGAUGUGAAAUCCCCGGGCUUAACCUGGGAACUGCAUCCAAGACUGGCAAGCUAGAGUCUCGUAGAGGGAGGUAGAAUUCCAGGUGUAGCGGUGAAAUGCGUAGAGAUCUGGAGGAAUACCGGUGGCGA
rnacentral:rRNA from 1 species